CCUUCUCAGGUGCAGUUCAUGCUAUGGAGAAGUUGUGAAUGUGAGGCCGGCAAGCCAACCAGAUUGCACAAGAUCCUGUCUCCUGGCACAGUUGAGCCAAGUUUUGAUUUGGGGUACCAGUCAUAUGAAUCAUUAGAACAUGACGAAUCUUCUGUGAGUAAACAAGUGGGUGGUAAAGCUCCUGGAUUUGUGAUACAGCCUUUAUGUUCGACUCCUACCACACAGAACAGUGACAUUGAAUUGUCGAAAAACAAGAAAGUUUACAGUGAAAGGUCUGAUGUUUGUGAAAAAGUGGGAGAAAAUUCUGUUAGAAACACUGAUAUAGUCCGUCCACCACCUGGAUUUGAAGGGGUGGUCUACUCAGCCCAAACAGAGAAGAAAACAGGUAUGGAAGAUUCUGACUUCCAGAGUAGGUCACACCUAGACACUAAUAGGCUAACUCUCAGCCAAUUAGAGAAUAGUUCACACCAGAAAAUGUCAUCUCAGCAGCCAUCUCUAAAGAGUUUGAUACAGCUACAGAAUGAGAAGUUUGGGUAUGAAUGUCAUGAUUCUUCUGGUGGCAAAAAUGAAACAAUUAAUAAAAAAGAACACACCAUGUUUCCAAAUGUUAAUAAUAACAAUGAAGCAUACCUGGACAUGAAUAAUCAGUACUGUAAGUUGCCCACUUGUCUUAGCAAUGCAGCACAGCACCUUUCUAAGGCUAGCUCUGCUAUUGAAAGAGCUUCAGUAGCAGAAAGGAUUCAGGACAAUCUGAUAGCUACGUUAGGGUCAGCAAUUGAUAAGAAAAUUACUGAAAAUCAACAAGCGAUAGAAAGAAAUUGUACUCUAGAAGGAUUUCAGGGACAGGGCAACAACUUCAGAGAGGGUGAAAAUAUUGAAAAUACUUUAGGAAGUACAAACAAAGAAAAGAAGGAAAACAAAAAAAGUGAAACAUCUGUCAUGGAAAUGAGACCAUUGAGAUCUGAUUCUAGGGAAAAAGGAAAAGUAUUGAAAAAUUUUGAGGUAGAUGUAAAUAAAAUGCCCAUGAGAGGUGAAAAUAGAAUGACUAGCUUUGUGUUUGAAGACAAUCAAUCUUUUGGAAGAAAGACUUCAGCAAAAGAACAUGCUGCAGAUCAAAGUUUAAGACUAUACAAUUAUGAAUCAAGUUCAGGAGAUUGUAGUGAAACUAGUGGUGACGAAAAUAUCAAAUUUGCUGCUUUUUCCCAGUCCCCACAAAUAUCAGAUAAUGAGGAAUGGACUAGCAGGACUUCAGUAAUGGUUGGAAAGCUAUGUGAUUAUUCAGGAAGUUCUGAAAUUCACAAAGACAAUAAUGUCAGAAGAAUAAGGAAUGAAUUACCAUCAUAUGACAUCGAUGAUUGUGAAAUUCCUGUAAAUGAAAUGAUGGAAAGUAAGAGAGAGAAGGUAGCAGUGAGUUCAGGGCAGUUUGCUAGAGCAGAGCAGGAAGAUGCAAAUAGACCAAGAAUGUUGUGCCGACCUAGGUCACCUUACUCAGUACAUCCACCUCCCUACAGAGGUGGAGCUUAUCGUCCACGGUUAAGGCCUUUCUCACAUAUGGAACAAUGGCCCAUGGAUCCAAGGAUUCUUUCUAUGCCCCCACCACCUCCUCCACUACAAUGGCCUCCCCCAUCAACAGUUUACCAGAUGUUCGGUCGUGGAUUUGCAUAUGGACCAAACACACCCUGGGAAUCCCCACCAGGACCAGUUUACAAUGAACCUCCAACAGACUACAGAAUGUAUGAGGAAGAAAAUGCGAAAGCUUAUGCAAGGUUUCCCCAACCUGCUCCAUAUUGCCAUUCAACAGACAGAGAUGGAUCUACAGUUCCAACAAAUCACAGUCCUAUUGAUGAAAAAAAUAAACCUAGUGCAACUCCCAAGGCAAGAAGUUCCAUAAAAAUUGUUGACUAUGGCUCGAGUGACGACAGCUCAUCUGAAAUAGAACCUUUUGAUGUAAACAUUUUAUGUAAAACAGAAGAGGAAAUCAAUUCAAAAUAUGGCAACCAGUUGAAGCACACUCCAAAGAAACUGAAAAAGGAUACAGAUGAUGACAGUUCAUCUAUAGAUUCUGCAGAUAACAAUCAGAAGGAAAGUAGGACUAAGCUGUAUGGAAAAUCCACAGCUGCUGUUAAACUAAGUAGAGGACAUACUAAAACACUGAAACAAAAGUCACUGAAGUCUUUCUCCUCAAAUGAAAGGCAGCCCCCAAAGAAAAUGUUACAUGAUCAUACUAAGAAAAGAACUUUAUCUGGAAUUAUAGCAGAAACAGCAGGCAAGGCAAUGAAGUCAGAGGGAAGAUUAGAUAAUGAUCAGGUAGAUGCCAUAGCUCAGGAGUUUCCUGCCCUUGGUUCAGAACAAGAAAAGCAAUUACCUCCCUUUCCACCAUUGCCACCUGUUGGAAAUAGCCCGUUCUGGAUGUAUACACCAAGAAGUCGCCCUGCUUUGAAUGGUAAAAAUGAAGAAAAUGAAUAUAAUAAUUCAAAAUCUGUAAGCUCUACUGCUGUUCAGCCACAUAGAAAGAGGCUGCCAGAAAGUCCAACAAGUAGAUACUUAUUCUCCCCGGGUCAGGCUUCGGGAUUUUAUUCACCAUCAGAGACAGAUAGCGAGGCAACAUCCAUCCGUAGUGACUGGAAAACAAAUUUUAAACUGUUCCACAAUUUCGGUGUGGAGUAUAUUGAUACACAUUGUCAUCUGGACUUCCUGUUCUCUAGAGAAGGUUUCAAGGGAAGCUUCAAGGCAUACAUGGAUAAACAUUUGGAAACAUUUCCAAACAUGUUUAAAGGCUGUGUGGCAGUUUUCUGUAACCCUAAUACCUUCACACCAAGUGGUGGGUUAUGGUUAGACGUUGCCAAGGAACCCAAUGUUUGGAUAGCUAUGGGAUGUCAUCCAAAAAUGGCUACAGACUUCACAGCUGCAGCUGAGUUAGGGUUGAAGAAAUGUCUACGUCACAGCAAGUGUAUAGCCCUGGGAGAAAUAGGACUAGAUUACUCUGGAACGUUUUAUCAGCACGCGGAGGUACAGAAACAAGUGUUCCGUCGACAGCUAAAGAUGGCUUUAGAUCUAGAGAAGGUUCUUGUUAUACAUUGUAGACAGGCAGAAAGUGACUGUCUCGAAAUUAUGAAAGAGAUGGUACCAAGAAAUUGGAAAAUACACUGUCACUGUUUCACCAAUGAGUACAAGAAUGCCAAACUGUGGAUAGAUGCAUUCCCAAACUUGUUCAUUGGAGUUACUCCCCUUGUCACAUACAGAACAGCCAAGCCAACUCAUGAUCUGGCUCGUAACAUUCCUAUCAACAAACUGUUGCUCGAGACAGAUGCUCCAUACUUCGUACCAAGAUGUAUACCAAAAGAGGACCUUCCAUUGUCAAACCCUGGAUUGGCAGUAACGGUAGCAAAGGAGAUAGCUCAGUACCAGGAACUUACUGUGGCAGCAGUGCUAAGACAGUGCCGGCUGAACACAAAGUUCAUGUAUGGUAUAUAGUGCUUUACCAGUAGGAUGCAGGAUACGUGACAACACGCCAGCUUACUGCAUGUUUGUUAAGGAGUGGCAGAGAAGAUG
rnacentral:misc_RNA from 1 species